rnacentral:rRNA from 1 species
UACGUAGGGUGCGAGCGUUGUCCGGAAUUAUUGGGCGUAAAGGGCUCGUAGGCGGUUUGUCGCGUCGGGAGUGAAAUCCACUGGCUUAACUGGUGGCUUGCUUUCGAUACGGGCAGACUGGAGGUAUGCAGGGGAGAACGGAAUUCCUGGUGUAGCGGUGAAAUGCGCAGAUAUCAGGAGGAACACCGGUGGCGAAGGCGGUUCGCUGGGCAGGUCCUGACGCUGAGGAGCGAAAGUGUGGGGAGCGAACAGG